rnacentral:rRNA from 1 species
GAUGAACGCUGGCGGCGUGCUUAACACAUGCAAGUCGAACGGUGAAGCAGGAGCUUGCUCUUGUGGAUCAGUGGCGAACGGGUGAGUAACACGUGAGCAACCUGCCCCUGACUCUGGGAUAAGCGCUGGAAACGGCGUCUAAUACUGGAUAUGUGAUGUGACCGCAUGGUCUGCAUCUGGAAAGAAUUUCGGUUGGGGAUGGGCUCGCGGCCUAUCAGCUUGUUGGUGAGGUAAUGGCUCACCAAGGCGUCGACGGGUAGCCGGCCUGAGAGGGUGACCGGCCACACUGGGACUGAGACACGGCCGAGACGCCUACGGGAGGCAUCAGUGGGGAAUAGUGACCAAUGGGCGGAAGCCUGAUGCAGCAACGCCGCGUGAGGGAUGACGGCCUUCGGGUUGUAAACCUCUUUUAGCAGGGAAGAAGCGAAAGUGACGGUACCUGCAGAAAAAGCACCGGCUAACUACGUGCCAGCCGCCGCAGUAA